rnacentral:lncRNA from 1 species
CCCACAGCACACGCCGUCGCACCACCACCACGUGCUGGUGCCGGUGGCACAGCAGCCCCAACCGUCGUCCUACUUUGCGGCGGUGAGGAGGAGGCAAACGACGGUGAUCUCCAUGCUCAUCCUGCUCGAGGAAAUGUUUGAAAGAGGGUAAUCCUACCAAUUGAGAGAAGAGGUAACUCUAUCUCAACAAAUCAAGCAACCAAACAAAGUCUAAGGCUAGCCAGACUGAUAUAGUACACGCAACCAAACAAGCAAGGAUUGGCAAGCUAGGGACAGACUUGGACUAGUUAGGCUUAGUUUGGCUAGCCAGGCUUAUCAAACACGUGUUCCUAUUUGUUUCCUUUCUUAUUAUAUUUAUUUUUUCUUUUUCUUUUCAUUUUAUUUUCUUCUCUUUUUUAUUUUAUUAUGUGACCUUUGAUUCAUCUUUUCACUUUUUUUAUUUUUAACCUUUUUUAUGUUUACCUAAUUAAUUUUUAUUUGAUUUUGUGUUUUCAUGUUUUUUCUCUUUUCUUCUAUUUACUUUUUUAUUUUCAUGUUUCAUGUAGAUUUUUUUCCAUUUUGGUUUUCACUUUCUAGUUUUACUUUACUCUAAUUAUUUUUGUUUUAAUCAUUUUCCUGCUUUUGUUUUUUCUAUUUGCUUUUAUUAUUUAAGUUCUUUAUUUUUUUUAUAAUUAGCCUUUGUUAUUUAUGCUUUCAUUUCUGUUUUUGUUAUUUUAUGCUAUUUAAUUACUCUAAUAAUUAUAUCUUUUACUCAUUUUCAGAUAUGUGUGGAUUUUCUAUGAUACUUUUUGUUUUGUUCUUUUAUUUAUUUCGCCAUAUUUAUGUAAUAUAUAUAUAUAUAUAUAUAUAUGAUGUUUUAUGAUAUAUUUUUGUCAUAUCUAUGCAGUAUACAUGUCCAUAGACUUUUGGGGCACUGUAGUGCAUGUAAUUAUUUUUUUUAUCACCUAGUUGCCGUGUGGUUCCCUGCCAUUGUUGGGCGUAUAGGCACAGAAGAGCACUACUAGAAAAAUGAUUCUAGAAGAUAGGCUCUCUAAUUAAUGGAGGCGGGCACAUCUAACGAUUACAUCCAGCUAGGCUAUGAGCUUACUUGUAUGUACAAUUGCAGGCGGGGCGGGCUCUUAACGAGACCCGCACGUUCGCUCUGCAAAAUUUUCUUUCGCGGCUGUAGCGGUCGAGCCGUAUUUUUUUUUGGCCCAACAUCUUUAGAUCCGCGAAGCCCGUUGGCCAAGAGAAAAAAAUCGUGAGAACCCGCAAGACCCGCAACUAACCCUAUCUGUCUCACGACGCACCGUCGCUCUCCUCCCCUCGUCGGCUCGCCCUCAGUCUACGGAGAUCUCACAUACGGGCAACCGCAGCAGCCUCUGGUGGCGUCGGGCGUCACUCUCCUCCCCUCGCCCUUCCAGCUCGUCCUGGCCCUUACUUGUAUAGUUGUAUGCUUGUUUUUACUGGACCAGAGAUCUCAUACAUAGUACAUACAUAUCUGAAAUACUAUCUGGAAUUAGGCCCCUUGUUUUUAAAGGCCGAAGUGCGGCCGCCCAGCUCGACCCCUCUCAAGGCCGGGCUUGGAAAGAAUAUGCCCAAAAUAUAUUUGAGUAAUGGUACAUGCUUACAAUAAAAGCAUUGGUGGACCAUAUAAAAAUUGAAUUGUAGAGUGUUGCUUGCUACAUCGAAAUAUCUGCCAUGACAAUUCCUUCUCCCAAGCUCCAUCAUCCCUACCUCUAACAUAUAUUGUUUCAGCAACUCCAAAUCCCUAUCCUACGAAACACUCUAGGGAAACACAUCCCCUAGGGUAUUUUAAGACUUUCUCUAUGGUUUUUUAUCCUAAGAAAAUAGGUGGAUUCUAGUAGUAGAUGGCCUUUUUAUUUGUUAGUUAUUGGUCUAUUGUUGACUCUAUGAGAAGUUUAUGCAGGGACAAAGAAUCCUCAGAUUGAGACAAGGAUGAGAAAAAAUAGAUCUGAUAACAUUUAGAAGGUUGAAAAUAGAAACCUAACCCCCCAUGAGAAAUUCCACAUUCUCAUCUCUAAUCGUCGGUCAUCCAAACACUAGCACCAAGGGGUCAUCCUAUUCCAUCUUCAAUUAUUCCUGCAUCCAAACACAUGUUAGGCUACAUGCUAUCAAUAAUUCCACUAUAUCUCUUAUAUUGUAUUUUCUAUAAUCUUUAUAACUAAAAAUUAUGGAGAGGAUCCGUCUAGCACAACCGUGGUGAAGCCAUAACUCCCGUCCCUUUUACUUUGUCAUGAUAGACUAUACCAUCAACUCAGGCCCCACUCACCCCUAUAUGCAAAAUUAUUUUAGCGAAUUAAAAAAAAGUCAUAACUCUUAAACCGAAGAUAUAAAUUAAAUUCUGAUUGCACCAUUAAAUUUUUUAUAACAAAUCCUUUAAAACAAGAUCACACAUGGAUAUAUUUAGAUAAAAUUUUAUUAAUAAAUAUUUAUCUCUACAACUAAAAAUUAUAGAGAUGACCCGUCCACAACUCACAUCCCUUUGGUGGUCUUUUUACUGUACGAUGACACGCUAUCCCAUCAACCUAGGCCCCACUCACCUAUGCAUGCAAAAUUAUUUUAGCAAAUUAAAAAAGUCAUAACUCCUAAACUAGAGAUAUAAAUUAAAUUCAGAUUGCACCAUUAAAUUUCUUAUAACAAAUCCUACAAAACAAGAUCACACAUGAAUACAUUUAGAUAAAAUUUUAUUAAUGAAUAUUUAUCUUAUAAAGAUAAAAUAUUUUCUUUUAUUAAGUAGAGACAAUAUUCUAAGUUCAACAGACAAUGUUCUGUCUUUGUAAAAAAUGUUAUCGAUUUAGAAGAAUAGUAUUUUGGUUUUAGGUUUAUGAAACUGAUAUUACAAUAUACAUAAAAAUACACAAAUACAUGACAUAGAUAAAAAUAAUAAUAAAAUCUAGAGCGAAAAGCAUAAGAAAAGAAUAAAACACAAAAUAUAGAAAAAAUUCAAAUAAUGUCAAAGUGUUACUUUUCAAAUAUCGUAAAUAUAUUUGUAGAACAUUUACAUAACUAAAUACAUCAUAUAACAUCAUUAAAUAUAUUAUAGAACAUCACAUCUAUUAUAGAUUACAUGUAUACUAACUAAACACCAAAAUAAAAAUCAUAGAACAUCACAUGUAUACUACUUAAACAUAACAUAACACAACAUAGAACACUAAAUAUAUACUAUAUAAAUAUGACAUAUAUAUAAAAAAUAAAAAUAAAAAAUUAAAUUACUAAGAAGAAAAAAUAUAAAAACAAACAUGAUUAACAAAUGAUAAAAAGUGCAAAGAGCAAAUAAAAUAAAUGAAUAAUUUAAAUAACAAUAAAAAGAAGAUUAAAAGGAAAUAAAAUAUAAAAUAAGAAUGAAGAAACAUAGAAAACCUAAAAAGAAAAAAAAAGACAAACAAAUAGAAGCAAGGAAGAACAAUAAAAAUAAAACCAAAAGAAAAACGAAAAUAAAAGGUAAAAUUGAAAAAAAAAGAAUAAGAAAAGGACAGAAAAUAAAAUAAAAUCGAAAAACAAAAACUGAAAUGAAAUGAAAAAGAAGAAUAUAGAUAGAAAAAAUAAAAUAACAAUGAAGGCCUUGUUUAGUUCCAAAAUAUUUUGAGCUAAUGCAAAAAUUUUUGCUAUUUUGCAUUUUGAAAGUAAACAUGUCCAAAAUAUUUUGACACUAAACUUUUUGCAAAAUUAAAUAGGGACAUUGGUCUUGUUUAGUUUCAAUUUUUUUGUAAAAUGGACAU